rnacentral:misc_RNA from 1 species
UACGAGGGGUCCUAGCGUUGUUCGGAAUCAUUGGGCGUAAAGCGGGUGUAGGCGGAUUGAUAAGUCAGAUGCGAAAGCCCUGGGCUCAACCCAGGAAGUGCAUUUGAUACUGUUGAUCUUGAGUGUAGUAGAGGCUAGUGGAACUCCUGGUGUAGUGGUGAAAUACGUAGAUAUCAGGAGGAACAUCGGUGGCGAAGGCGGCUAGCUGGACCAACACUGACGCUCAGACCCGAAAGCGUGGGGAGCAAACAGG